AUACAGAGGGUGCAAGCGUUAAUCGGAAUUACUGGGCGUAAAGCGAGCGUAGGUGGCUUGAUAAGUCAGAUGUGAAAUCCCCGGGCUUAACCUGGGAACUGCAUCUGAUACUGUUAGGCUAGAAUAGGUGAGAGGAAGGUAGAAUUCCAGGUGUAGCGGUGAAAUGCGUAGAGAUCUGGAGGAAUACCGAUGGCGAAGGCAGCCUUCUGGCAUCAUAUUGACACUGAGGUUCGAAAGCGUGGGUAGCAAACAGGAUUAGAUACCCUGGUAGUCCACGCCGUAAACGAUGUCUACUAGUCGUUGGGUCCCUUGAGGACUUAGUGACGCAGCUAACGCAAUAAGUAGACCGCCUGGGGAGUACGGCCGCAAGGUUAAAACUCAAAUGAAUUGACGGGGGCCCGCACAAGCGGUGGAGCAUGUGGUUUAAUUCGAUGCAACGCGAAGAACCUUACCUGGUCUUGACAUAUCUAGAAUCCUGCAGAGAUGCGGGAGUGCCUUCGGGAAUUAGAAUACAGGUGCUGCAUGGCUGUCGUCAGCUCGUGUCGUGAGAUGUUGGGUUAAGUCCCGCAACGAGCGCAACCCUUGUCCUUAGUUACCAGCGGGUUAAGCCGGGAACUCUAAGGAUACUGCCAGUGACAAACUGGAGGAAGGCGGGGACGACGUCAAGUCAUCAUGGCCCUUACGACCAGGGCUACACACGUGCUACAAUGGUAGGUACAGAGGGCAGCUACACAGCGAUGUGAUGCGAAUCUUUCAAAGCCUAUCGUAGUCCAGAUUGGAGUCUGCAACUCGACUCCAUGAAGUAGGAAUCGCUA
rnacentral:rRNA from 1 species